rnacentral:rRNA from 1 species
ACUCCUACGGGAGGCAGCAGUGGGGAAUAUUGCAGCAAUGGGCGCAAGCCUGGAACUGCAGCCAUGCCGCGUGUGUGAAGAAGGCCUUCGGGUUGUAAAGCACUUUCAGUCGUGAGGAAGGUAGUGUAGUUAAUAGCUGCAUUAUUUGACGUUAGCGACAGAAGAAGCACCGGCUAACUCCGUGCCAGCAGCCGCGGUAAUACGGAGGGUGCGAGCGUUAAUCGGAAUUACUGGGCGUAAAGCGCAUGCAGGUGGUUUGUUAAGUCAGAUGUGAAAGCCCGGGGCUCAACCUCGGAAUUGCAUUUGAAACUGGCAGACUAGAGUACUGUAGAGGGGGUGA